rnacentral:rRNA from 1 species
AUUGAACGCUGGCGGCAGGCUUAACACAUGCAAGUCGAGCGGGGUGAUGGUGCUUGCACUAUCACUUAGCGGCGGACGGGUGAGUAAUGCUUAGGAAUCUGCCUAGUGGUGGGGGACAACAUCUCGAAAGGGAUGCUAAUACCGCAUACGUCCUACGGGAGAAAGCAGGGGAUCACUUGUGACCUUGGGCUAAUAGAUGAGCCUAAGGUGGAUUAGCUAGUUGGUGGGGUAAAGGCCUACCAAGGCGACGAUCUGUAGCGGGUCUGAGAGGAUGCUCCGCCACCCUGGUACGCAGACACAGCCCAGACUCCUUCGGGAGGCAGCAGUGGGGCUUAGUUGACAAUGUGGGGAACCCUGAUCCAGCCAUGCCGGGUGUGUGAAGAAGGCCUUAUGGUUGUAAAGCACUUUAAGCGAGGAUGAGGCUCUUUUGGUUAAUACCCAAGAUGAGUGGACGUUACUCGCAGAGUAAGCACCGGCUAACUCUGUGCCAGCCGCCGCGGUAA